AAACUAGGAUAAGAUACCCUAUUAUUUCAGUUUAAAUUUUUUUUUGACCUUAGUAUUAUUUUUAUUUUAAAUUAAAAGGAUUUGGCGGUUUUUUAAUCUUUUUAGAGGAACCUGUUUUUUAAAUGAUAAUCCACGAUUAAUUUUACCUUUAAUUUUCUCAUAUAUCUCUGUCGGUGAAUGUAAUUAGAGUUAAUUUUCUUUUUUUUUUAUAUUUUAUGUUAGGUCAAGGUGUGGUUAUAUUAAGGUUUAAAUGGGUUACUUUAAUUAUUUUUUGUUGAUUUAUUUUAUUUAAUUUAUAUUGAAUUUGGAUUUAAUAGUAAUUUAUUUUUUUAAAUUUUUUGAAUUAAGCUCUAGAUUAUGUACAUAUCGCCCGUCACUCUCAUAAAUUGAGAUAAGUCGUAACAAAGUAGAUGUACCGGAAGGUGUAUCUAGAAUCAG
rnacentral:rRNA from 1 species